rnacentral:lncRNA from 1 species
CGAAGCCUCACUACAAACACGGACAUAGCUUACGAGCUGGAAAAUAAACAUACCGUAUGUAUAUAACUUAUUUUUAGGACUGAAACCGUUAUGUAUCAUUUUGAUUUAUUUCAUUACAAUCGUAAAAUUAUUUACUGUUAAUAAGCAUUAAAUUCAUACAUAUACAGCUUUAUUAAGUUUUAUUCAACCCGGUGACGUUUAGUUCACAUUUUGUUUACUUGAGAACUACUCAGGUUGUAUUCAAUUUUAGUUGGUCAUUUCAUGUUGACCAGUGGAUAAAGUUGGUCAAGUUAGACAGAAUAAAUGGAUUAUUGAGGAUGCUAUCACCAGGUCCCCAGCUUUACAUUUGAGGAUUCAGGGAUUCGACGACUGAAUAAUAUCUACAGUCAGAGGUAUUUUAAAUUUUCACAUUUCCUUUUUUUUUAAGAAAAUCUCAUUUUCUCUAUUUUUCGUGCCUAUAACUGUAUCAAAUACAUGUAUCCUUUCGGUUGUUCUGUAAUAUAAGACUUCGAAGUUUCAUUUCAUUUACAUUCAACGUUUUUAAUCGGAUUUUUUUUUCACGUUAAACAUUGAUAGUAAAACCAAAUAUCCGUGAUAAAAAUCGUUGAAUGUAGAUGAUAUGAACCUUCGAAGUCUAAUAUUAUAGGACAACCUUUCGGAAGCAUUUCUUAAUCCACUAACUCCUAAAGAUCAAACUUGUUACCAACUUAUGUAUUUUCAAUUUGUUCCCAACCUUGUCAUGUGUGUAUAUAUUUGCCACUUGACUUUAUACAAACAACAUGUAUUCAAAUCUAAUAAAAAGAAUUUAUUUAGACAAACCUAGUAUGGUUACCUAAAAAUUUAAAAAGUUUGAUACUACAAGAACUUUAUAAUAUGAAGUUAAAUGCACAUAACUUUGAUUUUAUGUGCAAUGAAAAGUUACGAUAUCAUCUGAUGAUCAUGAUAUACUCUUACUACGUUUACUUAAUGCAAAAGCAAAAUGGAAAAUGUUACUACAGUUAUAAAUAUUUUUAAAGAAUAACAUUUUUUAAUUGAACCGACGCAAACUAUUGCUGUAAGUGAUUUCUGAUCAUUGGUUCGUUUCUAUGAAAUAAAAUCAUAUCAAUCCAUAUAAAGAAGAAAAAAAUUGUUGCAGCUUGUGUUUAAUUUGAGAUUCGGGAGAGAAAAAAAAUCCUUUAAUCUCUAUUGACUGAAUGUUGGGGGUUCAUAGGGAAGUCUUCCUGAGAUUUAAUGAUAGGAAGGCCGUAUUAAUAUUUUUAAAAAAUCCGCCCGAGAACCAAGUGACAAAAAAUUUCAAAAUAAACCAUGAAAUGGAAAAAAUAACUUCAGUUUUUACUGACUUUUAUAACAGUGGUGUUAGUUGUUGUCUCGCCUGUGACUUCGUCGCAGUUUGCGAGACAUAAGUAUUACUAUCAGACGGUCGCGGCGAUAUACCCUAUUUUUAUAAAGCUUUGUGUUUCAGAAGGUAAAAGACCAGGAUGCUUCAUAUUUUGAUUGCAUAUACAUUAUGCUACGAAGCUUCCGUCUGUCAGAUGUCCAUUGUCAUUGACCUCCUUUUCAUGGUCCAUUGGAUGCUUGAAAAAUUCAAUUUUAUCUGUAUUCCUUAUAUUCCAUCUCUUUUAAGAAAAUUGAAUAAGGAAACGAGAUUUCAUGUCUAUGAUCAACGGUUCGCUGGUUUAAUUUCAUACGUUAUCUAUUCGUAAGAAUUUUAAUGCAUUUCUAAAGGACGAUGGGAUGUGAUUUAAGUAGAUUAUUUCCCGUUAAAGAAUAAAAAAAAAAUUAAAAUGCAAUAAUGUCUAUCAGCUCAUUACAAAUGCAUUUUAUGUAUACUAUGGUAGUUCCGAGACUUUAUCAAACUAGUAUACUUUCUGUAAAUUGUCAUUUGGUCACUAAAGUGUGACUGUCAAUGAUGAGCAGCUCUAGAAUUGCUAACGAACACUGAAUAGUCUUUUCUCCAUGAAUAUGGUUAUUGCUCUUCUUUCUUUGUUUCUUUUCUCUCCUUUUUGCUUGUUGAUAACUUAACGUCCAGUAGCAAAUAUUUUAAAACUUAAUAGGGAAUAAAAUAGUUGGCAAUGUAUUUAUAGAUGAUCUUAAAUCACAACUAAAUAUUGUGCAGACUUCAAAGAAAAUGACGAUUUUAACUACAAUCGAUAAAAAAAUUAACCGUACAAUUGGACACCUCCAAAUUCAUCAAAUGAUUUGCCUUGUUAAUAGUGCAGAUAACAUUUCAUUAUCCAUUGGAUUUAACAUUGUUCAGUAUCCAACUCUGUAAAUUGGAUAUUAAAAAUAUUUGUAAAUUUAAAAAGAAGGAAGUUUUCUAUUUUUAAAAACAAACAAAAAUGGGCCCUUUAGAGAGGACUAAAUGAAUAAAGAAGUAAUAUUUCUUACAACAAAUAUACCGUUGGGUUCAUUUUAUCCUUUUCGAUGUUCAGUUGACCAAUAAAAUGUUUAUUUUUUAAUACAUAGAUGAGCUGGGUUUUUUUUAUGGCUUCUUCAUUCGCUUGCUCGUAUUUUUUGGUGGUCUGAGAUGUCAAAAACAACCACAUGACAAAAAUGAUUUUGAAUUUGGUCUUCAAAAGGGCUAUUUUUGUAUUCUUUGUGAAUUCCGCUUAAUUUUUUUUACCAUUUACGUCUUCGAUGAUGGGUAUUUGGACUACCGUAGUUGCUUAUGCUCGUUUCUGAGCAAAUCAUUUCUGUACUGAAUGUUCAUUUUCAGAUAGAGGAACAUAUAGUACCACGGGAUUUUUCAAAACAAAUCAAUCGAAAAGAAACAACUCCAUGACAUAAAACGAAACAUAAGUACACAAAACAUUGCAUUGAAAAAAAAGACUGAGCAAACAAACCCCAAUAAAAACGGACGGUGAUCUCAGGCCCUUCGGAGAAGAAAAUCCUGCUCCACGUAUGAUACGCGUCAUAUUGUCAUAGUUUUAAUUAAAAAAUGAUGCUGUUCGGUAGAUUAAAUUGAUUAGCAGGAAUUAUUUCGAUGAUAAAGAAUAUUGACGUGAAUCUUUCGAUUUCAGUUUCUGUGAAGGGUUUUUCAUCCUGCUUGCUAGGUUAAAAUAAAAUGGUCUUCACUCAACAUGUUUAGAUUAGAUUAAAAGAAAACUCUUCUUAUUCUUCUUCUGAUAUACAGUUACAGCUUCAUCUAUAUUGAAGAUUACGAACCGUUGCAUGCGCGGAGUAUAUAACAAAAACUCAGAUGUAGACACGGCCGGUCUUUGUCAUAUACAUUCCUUUAGUUGUUUUUCAUACUUAGUCCCAUGCAUAAUCUCAAUAAAAUUAUAUUAUUUUAAAUUUUUAUUCAGAACUGUUCUGGUCUAGGUAUAUUUGAGAAGCCUUUAUAUUAAAUUACAUUAAUCUGUGAAAAUUAAUUUUGAUCGAUAUUUUCGACAGAAAAAAAGAACCAAAUAAUUCAAAAAUAAUUCUAGGUCAAAAGACUAAUUUGAAAAUACACAAUAAAAUAUACUGUUAUACAAUCUAUAAUUAGAAUUAUUUCUCACGAAGUUAGGGUAAAUAUUUACCACUUCCUUGGUUACGGGUGUAUUGUGAAACAUAUAUUUAUUACGUGUGUACAAAAUUAGUAUCACGAACCAAUGCAUGUCGAUACAAUGUAAAAAAGUAAAAUAUUUGUGUUUAUUAAAAUUAUAUGCAGGUACAAUAAAUGUAUACCGUUCCUUUAAAUCACUUUAUAACAUGUAUAAUGGGAUAUCGAUUGCGUGUCUUGUGAUCAAACUUAUAAUAAUCAACAGAAUAAACCAAUAUCUAUAACACUUCGAAAUAUGGUGUCACCCGGUGCAUCUUUAUACUACUUUUAUUUGUUAUUUUUACAAAAUAGUCCCCACUGUGGCAAAGCCCUGCGUGCUAUUACUUGAAAUACGACUGGCAUUCACUUAUAUUUGUCCGAGACUCCGAUGUCCAACAAACAUUGGACGAGCAUUGGACGUCAGAGUAAUCUUGUCUGGCAAAACAGCCGUCGGACAUCAGGGUAAGCUUGUCUGUUUUAACUGAUGAUUAAAAACAAAAUUUAAAACUGCAAAAAUUAAGUACGAAGUUUGAGCAUUGAGGACCAAAAUUUCAAAAGGGUUUUGCCAAACACAGUCGAAUAAAAUUGAGAACGAAAAAAGUAAUUUAUUCUUGGGGUAUACAUACUUAUUAUUUCGAAAAUUCAAAGUUUUCUUAAAAUCCGUUGAUAAUUAAUACCACAUCAACAUGAUCAAUGAAAACUCGUGUCAACGCAGAAGUGCCGGUUACUGGCGUAAUAGACAAACUCAAUGUUUCUUAACGGAUGGAAUAUUUGUAUUUAUACUUUACUAAAAAAAAUUGUUCUAGGCCAAUUUAUGUGUAUGAGUAUACAUUAUAACUAGUAUUUAUUUGUUUAGGGGCCAGCUGAAGGACGCCUAUGGGUGCGGGAAUUUCUCGCGACAUUGAAGACCUGUUGGUGACCUUCUGCUGUUGGUUUUUCUAUGGUCGGGUUGUUGUCUCUUUGACACAUUACGCAUUUCCAUUCUCAAUUUUAUUCAUGGGUAACAGAUUUGUGAAUAAAUAUAUCAAUUGAAACAGUGAUAUUAAACUAGCCUUUUAAAUAUAUAUUGCGUUUUCUUUAGAAAGAAAAACUUAUCUUGACGAGGAAGUCAUGUGCAAUUUCUUUCGAUCCAUUGUAAUCAAAUUUAAUGCGUCACUGAUAAGUUAACUAAACAUUAAACCUCAAUGAAAAUUUAAUAUAUCCGCUUUUGAAUAAAGAAAAGUCCAUGACCUCGAUAAUUGAUAAACUUGACUUGUUCUACGUUUUAUAAUUCUUGUCCAUUCCAACCCAUGAAUUAGUAAAUGCUGAUGACAAUAAUUAUGGAGUUGAGUUAAUUGUGAAUAUCACAACAUGCAGUUGCAAAAAAAGUCAAAAUAUCUGGUAAAAGAGAAUUGUGUUAUUCAAAAGAUCAGCAGAAACAUCAGUGUUAAAGUAACAUUAAGUUUAACCUUUUGAAUACGGAAAAUUGGUGUAUAAAAUGCGAAUAAGCUAGUCACAAAAAAAUGUCUUAGUCUGUCGGUCGUCUCAUCAAAAUAAGUCAAUAUAUCUUAAAUCCACGUUUCGGUUUAGGACACCCCCCGCCCUUUUUCCCCCUCAAAAUCAUUCUAUUCAUUUAUUUGAUUAUCAGGUGUACAAGUUCAUAUAAUACAGGAAAAUCUUGUGAAAGUUCAGUCGAGCUGUUUUCUAUCAGCUUCAGAUUAACAACAGAAGUAUAAGUUAUAACUGACAUGUUUAAAAUAAAUUGUUCUCUGAAAAGUGUUCUUUAUUUGUACUGUGAGAGAGAGAGAGUACAAAAACAAUAUGUCUAACCCAUAAAUCUCUUUCUUGUUGUCAUACUUGAAUUUUUUCAUUAUCGUGCUUCUGUAAUUGACGAGGGGAAUAGAAAUAUUGUGUCUUAGGUGUUCUCCCGACGUUCACUAAAACCCUUGCCAAAAUGGAGAGUCUGUUUGGCUGUGUGGGAUGUACAAGUACGCAAACGCAUCCGGUCUGAAUGGGGAAGUGGAAUCCGUUGUCUCGUAAAGAACAUCACGCUCUGUACACGUUAAGAACCAUUGUAACAACUUUAUAUAAGGAUCCGAAGGUGGUACAUGUAUGUUGUCAGGUUAAAUAUUUGUCCCUUACAAUAUACCCAGGCACUUGUCUUUGACAUUUUCCCCCCAUAAUAAUAAUGACAUAUAUGUCCCUUAAUAUAUCACGUGUUGUAUUAAGGUAUAUAUACGGGAAGAAACAGAUGCAAGUACAUAUGCAUCGUUUUCCAGUGUCAUUCUGAGUUUCUGACCUCCAUCAAAGCCAGCCCCUAUUACAAUUCCUACCUAUUAUAUUUCUUGUAAAAUUGUUCCCUUUCUGAUCAUGAAUGAAAUAAUCGCCACUGGACUUUAAGCAACCAACGAUCAACAAUAAGUCGUGAUUCUUUUACAAUAAAUCGUGCUUCAUGUUGUGUAUUCUUUUUCGUAUGAAAUGACCCAUAGUGUCAAUGAUCAAAAUAUUAUUCGUUUGAUCGGUGUUUACUCAUACAUAUUUAAACUUAUAGGUAAUAAAUUCUUUGUCCACGGUAUUCAAGCGUUUAAGGUAUCUGAUAACUGAUGUCAGGUAUUGGUAUUGCGUUUUAUAAAUAGAUGGUAUUUACUAAGUACACACAAGUUAUUACAUUUUGCAAUACGUAUUUACAGGAAUCGAUUUCGAAAAAUACCGGAAAGCGUUAGCUAAGUAAGGACUGAAUUUGAUACAGGUGAGUUCUGUUUCAUCUAAGAAUUAUUUAAUCUAAGUCUAUAUUGACUCAGGUAUGUUUUUGAAUUUCAUAUUUCAUAAUUUCUCAUUUUAUUAGCUGUUUAUGCGAGUUUGGUUGAACACAG